UGGGGAAUAUUGCGCAAUGGGGGGAACCCUGACGCAGCCAUGCCGCGUGAAUGAAGAAGGCCUUCGGGUUGUAAAGUUCUUUCGGUAUUGAGGAAGGUUGAUGUGUUAAUAGUACAUCAAAUUGACGUUAAAUACAGAAGAAGCACCGGCUAACUCCGUGCCAGCAGCCGCGGUAAUACGGAGGGUGCGAGCGUUAAUCGGAAUAACUGGGCGUAAAGGGCACGCAGGCGGUUAUUUAAGUGAGGUGUGAAAGCCCUGGGCUUAACCUGGGAAUUGCAUUUCAGACUGGGUAACUAGAGUACUUUAGGGAGGGGUAGAAUUCCACGUGUAGCGGUGAAAUGCGUAGAGAUGUGGAGGAAUACCGAGGGCGGAGGCAGCCCCUUGGGAAUGUACUGACGCUCAUGUGCGAAAGCGUGGGGAGCAAACAGGAUUAGAUACCCUGGUAGUCCACGCUGUAAACGCUGUCGAUUUGGGGGUUGGGGUUUAACUCUGGCGCCCGUAGCUAACGUGAUAAAUCGACCGCCUGGGGAGUACGGCCGCAAGGUUA
rnacentral:rRNA from 1 species